AGAGUUUGAUCCUGGCUCAGAGCGAACGCUGGCGGAAUGCUUAACACAUGCAAGUCGCACGCCCCGCAAGGGGAGUGGCGGACGGGUGAGGAACGCGUAGGAACGUGUCCUGUGGUGGGGGAUAACGCUGGGAAACUGGCGCUAAUACCGCAUAUGGCCUGAGGGUCAAAGCCGCGAGGUGCCAUGGGAGCGGCCUGCGUCCGAUUAGCUUGUUGGUUGGGUAAUGGCUGACCAAGGCGAUGAUCGGUAGCUGGUCUGAGAGGAUGAUCAGCCACACUGGGACUGAGACACGGCCCAGACUCCUACGGGAGGCAGCAGUGGGGAAUAUUGGACAAUGGGCGCAAGCCUGAUCCAGCAAUUCCGCGUGGGUGAAGAAGGUCUUCGGAUUGUAAAGCCCUUUCGGCGGGGACGAUGAUGACGGUACCCGCAGAAGAAGCCCCGGCUAACUUCGUGCCAGCAGCCGCGGUAAUACGAAGGGGGCUAGCGUUGCUCGGAAUGACUGGGCGUAAAGGGCGCGUAGGCGGCACACACAGUCAGGCGUGAAAUUCCUGGGCUUAACCUGGGGGCUGCGUUUGAGACGUGUGGGCUAGAGGAUGGAAGAGGCUCGUGGAAUUCCCAGUGUAGAGGUGAAAUUCGUAGAUAUUGGGAAGAACACCGGUGGCGAAGGCGGCGAGCUGGUCCAUUACUGACGCUGAGGCGCGAAAGCGUGNNNAGCAAACAGGAUUAGAUACCCUAGUAGUCC
rnacentral:rRNA from 1 species